UGACCAUACCAUGUUGAAAGCACUGGUUCUCGUCCGAUCACCGAAUCACAGAUCAUCAUCAGGCGCGGUCAGUACUUGGGAGGGUGAUCGUCUGGGAAGACCGCGUGCCGU